CAGAGAGUUGAGUGAUUUGCUGAUGAUCAUAGAGUUAGUAAGUAUGAAAGGUGAGAGUCAAACAGGUCUUCUUGAACACAUAUACGAUAUUUCUUUCCCCUCUUUCUAUUCAGGAGGAUGCUUUGUAUCUAAGAAGUCCAUAGAAGUAUACCUUGGAGAAAAUGCUUGUGGCCAAAGAUUGCUACUUUUAUAGGAUAUUAGAACCAGUUAAGCUGUUACAAAUAGUCAAAUUCAAUGCCUUUAUUUUAUAAGAGAGCUUUGAAGCGCAGAGGAUGUCACAGGGAGUUAUUUAAAAAAAAAUCUGGGGAUGAGUAGGUGGCUUAAUGGAUUGAGAGCCAGGAUUAGAGAUGGAUUGUCCUGGGUUCAACUAUGGCCUCAGACACUUCCUGGCUAUGUGACUCUGGAUAAGUUAUUCAAUCCUCAUUACCUAACCAUUACCAUUCUUCUUCCUAGCAAACAAUACACAGUAUUGAUUCUAUGGCAAAAGCCAGGUAACCUCAGUCAGUCAGCAAAGGCUUCAGGGUCUUCACCAUCAGCCACAAGCAGCCAAAACUCAGUCCAAAAGCUAAAACCCCCAGCUUCUUCUCCACCACUCUAUCAGAAGCCAAAGGACAGCCCACCAAUCCUCUCAGCCCAGUUCAGAAUGGUUUGGCUUCAACUGUUUUUCCAGGCCACUUGGUUAUGACACUGUAAAACUAAGCUAGAAACCCAUUUUCCUCAUGGCAAAUCUUCCAAAGUGUGUGUCAAGGAAACAGGAAGUGUUCAGAUAGUUUCAUCAUUUCAGAAGCUUUAAAAACGGAUUAUCCUUAUUACUACCAUAUGUUAUGUAAAUCACACAAUGACGUCAAACUGUUAUAAAGUAAUACUUAUAAGUGAUUAAAAUUAUUUGAUUAAUUAUUUUUUACAAGGAACCUGAGUAGAUCUUGAUUAUCUUUUGGCUCAACUUUUUUUUGGUGUGUGUGUAACUCAAAAAAUGCUCACUUGUUACACAAUCUGAUAUCUACAGAAUAAGACAGAAUAUAAAGGGAGAUUGAAGGCUGAAAAUCUCAAUUAAUUUAUUCAUGUGCAUAUUUGCCUGACACUGAAUGAAAGAAUGGAUAAAAGUCUUGCUCUAGAGUCAAAGAAUAAUGGAUCAGAAUUUUGACUCUGUUACUUACUGCUCCCUAUAUAUUCUUGAAGAUGUUCCUUUAAUCUUUCCUGUAUUCAGUAUCUUCAUCUACAAAAUUAAGUUUUAUUCCUUGACUUCCAAGGUGCCUUCCAGCUCUCAGUAUGUGGCAUAAAUGAAAAAGUUGAGAUUCCAUGUGAAUAUAGUCUCUGUACUAAGUACAUUUAAUAAAAACACUAAAAUACAAAAAAUCUGCA
rnacentral:lncRNA from 1 species